rnacentral:misc_RNA from 1 species
CAGCAUACUUUAUUUUUUUACCAAAAGGCUUGAGUCCAUGCAACUCAGAGAUCCAAGGUUCUCUCUAACAAGCUCCAAUUUAUUUCACCAUAGGUCGAAGAAAAUGUAAAAGAGCGAAAGUUCUUGAUCCUUUAUUCGAUCCACAAGUCCAUAGACAUGUAACUUGAUCUCAGACUUGGAACCUUAUUAUGUUAAUUUUCUAUUCUACCAUUUUAUAUUUUGCGUGGAUAGCCUGGCAGCCUUUUCAAUGGAACAGUUAUCAUAUCACCCAGUACAAAGAAGCAUACCUCAACUCGUCCAUGUAAUACAAUGAUCUUCUCAGAUA